rnacentral:lncRNA from 1 species
UCAGACCCUCUCCCAGUUUGACCCAACCUGCAGGAACAGCAACAAUAUAUGCUCCACAUCUAAUGAGAGCAGGAAGGAUCCACUCGUGCCCACCUCACUACUUCAGGGUCCUCCUGACAAAGAGAUUGUCCUGGGUUGGCACUGAGGACCAGUCAGCAGCUUCUUGGAGAGAUGGCAAAAGGGCUGUGAAGCAUCCUUAAGUUGAACAAGGUUUAAAAAAAAAUUAUGGUAAAAUACACAUAAAAUUUACCAUUUUAACCAUUUUAAAGUGUACAAUUUAAUGGCAUUUAGUACACUCGCAAUGUUGUACAACCAUCACCACUGUCUAAUUCCAGAAUAUUUCCAUCACCCCGAAAGGAAACCCGAUAUUCAUUAAGCAGUCACUCUCCAUCGCCUUUGACCCCAG